rnacentral:rRNA from 1 species
CAGUAGCCGCGGUAAUACGAAGGGUGCAAGCGUUAAUCGGAAUUACUGGGCGUAAAGCGUGCGUAGGCGGUGAGUUAAGUCUGCUGUGAAAUCCCCGGGCUCAACCUGGGAACGGCAGUGGAUACUGGCUCGCUAGAGUGUGUCAGAGGAUGGUGGAAUUCCCGGUGUAGCGGUGAAAUGCGUAGAGAUCGGGAGGAACAUCAGUGGCGAAGGCGGCCAUCUGGGACAACACUGACGCUGAGGCACGAAAGCGUGGGGAGCAAACAGGAUUAGAUACCUCCGUAGUCCCUGUCUCUUAUAC